GCUGGGCAUGGUGUCACAUGCCUGUAAUCCCAGCAGCUCGGGAGGCUGAGGCAGGAGGAUCGUGAGUUCAAAGUCAGCCUCAGCAAAAGUGAGGCGCUAAGAAACUCAGGGAGACCCUGUCUCUA
rnacentral:sRNA from 1 species